UCGACCUGCAGGCGGCCGCGAAUUCACUAGUGAUUAGAGUUUGAUCAUGGCUCAGAACGAACGCUGGCGGCAUGCCUAACACAUGCAAGUCGAACGAACCCUUCGGGGUUAGUGGCGCACGGGUGCGUAACGCGUGGGAAUCUGCCCUUGGCUUCGGAAUAACAGUUAGAAAUGACUGCUAAUACCGGAUGAUGUCUUCGGACCAAAGAUUUAUCGGCCAGGGAUGAGCCCGCGUAGGAUUAGGUAGUUGGUGGGGUAAAGGCCUACCAAGCCGACGAUCCUUAGCUGGUCUGAGAGGAUGAUCAGCCACACUGGGACUGAGACACGGCCCAGACUCCUACGGGAGGCAGCAGUGGGGAAUAUUGGACAAUGGGCGCAAGCCUGAUCCAGCAAUGCCGCGUGAGUGAUGAAGGCCUUAGGGUCGUAAAGCUCUUUUACCCGGGAUGAUAAUGACAGUACCGGGAGAAUAAGCUCCGGCUAACUCCGUGCCAGCAGCCGCGGUAAUACGAAUCGAAUUCCCGCGGCCGCC
rnacentral:rRNA from 1 species